AGAAACAAUACUUUUUGGAGGAUCUUCUCAUCAAUAUUAAUAACGCAUCCUUGUACUAUGCUCGAUCCAUCUUGAGGGUCAUAGUUUGCGAUGUAUUCUUCCACCAAUGCGACAUUAAUUGAAGGUAAAUUAUCUGACCUUUGCAAAAACUGAAAGAUUUGCGCGUUUUGAAAAUCUCAUAUUCUCCUUGGCGUCCAGCAAAUCUCCAGCUUCAUAGGCUCCAUAUUGGUAACGAUUACUACGGAUGGUGGUCCUAAAUUACGUUUAGCUUUCACAUUUUAGCCACUUUCCUCUCUGUGCGUAGCUCUCUUUGCACUCUCCAUCGCCAUGACACACACUCUUUCAAGCUCUAAUCGUCAAUACUACGCUCUAGUACUUUGAAACACCCGAUAUUGUAACAUCGAAAAGAAACAAUAACAGAAUGCGACAACUGAGAAUGACCAAAAACAGGUGCCCCACUCCUAUUCAUUUACCUAGUGGUGAUAACGACAACAUGUUACCCCCACUCUCCGUUUCUCACCCUCA
rnacentral:lncRNA from 1 species